rnacentral:rRNA from 1 species
UACGGAGGAUGCGAGCGUUAUCCGAAUUUAUUGGGUUUAAAGGGUGCGUAGGCGGGAUGCCAAGUCAGCGGUAAAAAUGCGGUGCUCAACGCCGUCGAGCCGUUGAAACUGGCGUUCUUGAGUGGGCGAGAAGUAUGCGGAAUGCGUGGUGUAGCGGUGAAAUGCAUAGAUAUCACGCAGAACUCCGAUUGCGAAGGCAGCAUACCGGCGCCCUACUGACGCUGAGGCACGAAAGCGUGGGUAUCGAACAGG